rnacentral:rRNA from 1 species
CAAUAGCGUAUAUUUAAGUUGCUGCAGUUAAGAAGCUCGUAGUUGGAUUUCGGGUGGGAAUGGCCGGUCCGCCGUUUCGGUGUGCACUUGCUACGCCCACCUUGCUGCCGGGGACGUGCUCUUGAGUUUCGGCUCGGGACACGGAGUCGGCGAGGUUACUUUGAGUAAAUUAGAGUGUUCAAAGCAGGCCUACGCUCUGAAUACAUUAGCAUGGAAUAACACGAUAGGACUCUGGCCUAUCUUGUUGGUCUGUAGGACCGGAGUAAUGAUUAAGAGGGACAGUCGGGGGCAUUCGUACUCCGACGUUAGAGGUGAAAUUCUUGGAUCGUCGGAUGACGCACUACUGCGAAAGCAUUUGCCAAGAAUGCUUUCAUUAA